rnacentral:rRNA from 1 species
ACGGCUCAGUAACACGUCACUAACUUGACCUACAGUCAAGGAUAGCCUUGGGAAACUGAGGGUAAACCUUGAUAGAUGUACUAUGCUGGAAUGCUUGUACAUACAAACUCGUGCUGUAGGAUAGGGUGGCGGCGGAUUAGGUAGUUGGUGAGGUAACGGCUCACCAAGCCAACGAUCCGUAGGGGCGAUGAGAGUCGGAGCCCCGAGAGGGACACUGAGAUACUGGUCCCAGCCCUACGGGGUGCAGCAGGCGCGAAACCUCUACAAUGCACGAAAGUGUGAUAGGGGGACUCCAAGUGCUUAUGCAUAGCAUAGGCUUUUGCCAAGAGUAAAUAUCUUGGCGAAUAAGUGGUGGGAAAGACUGGUGCCAGCAGCCGCGGUAACACCAGCGCCACGAGUGGCAUUCACAAUUAUUGGGUCUAAAGCGUUCGUAGCCGGGUGUGUGCAUCUUUUGUGAAAUCGGCCGACUCAAUCGUCCGGAUUGCUAAAGACACGGCACACCUUGGAACCGGGAGGAGCUAGAGGUAUGCCUAGGGGAGUGGUAAAAUAUGAUAAUCCUAGGUGGACCAUCUGUGGCGAAGGCGUCUAGCUAGAACGGAUUCGACGGUGAGGAACGAAGGCCAGGGGAGCAAACCGGAUUAGAUACCCGAGUAGUCCUGGCAGUAAACGCUGCGUGCUAGGUGUGGCAUUUCUUUAAGGAACUGCCGUAUCGAAGCGAAGGCGAUAAGCACGCCACCUGGGAAGUACGGCCGCAAGGCUGAAACUUAAAGGAAUUGGCGGGGGAGCAC